UACGAAGGGGGCUAGCGUUGUUCGGAAUUACUGGGCGUAAAGCGUGCGCAGGCGGCUUCUCAAGUCAGGGGUGAAAUCCCGGAGCUCAACUUCGGAACUGCCUUUGAUACAGCACGUCUUGAGUCCGGAAGAGGUGGGUGGAAUUCCUAGUGUAGAGGUGAAAUUCGUAGAUAUUAGGAAGAACACCGGUGGCGAAGGCGGCCCACUGGUCCGGUACUGACGCUGAGGUGCGAAAGCGUGGGGAGCAAACAGG
rnacentral:rRNA from 1 species